AUCGCUUCUCGGCCUUUUGGCUAUGAUCAAGUGUAGAUUGUGAAUAUUUAUUUUUAAAUUUGUUAAACUAGUUUAAACUUUUUUCAAAAAACAUUAAACAUAUCUGUUAUGUUCAAAAGACUCUUU
ensembl:snRNA U2 U2 spliceosomal RNA